GAUGCCCUGCAAUGCCUCAGGACUCUCCAGAAUGUUUUCACCAGCAAAAAGGCCCUCAGCAGAUGCAGCCUCUCGACCUUGAACUUUCUAGCCUCCAAAAUGGACUAUCGGUACUGAAACCCAGCAAGCUGAAAUCAGCAAAACAAGAUGGUCUUGCUAACUUGAGGAAGCUGUAGCAGCUGGAAGCUCCAGAGAGGAGGGGGCUCAGAGUCUGCACAUCAAUGGGGAGACAUCAUUCUGGCUGCAUUAUGAAUGGAUGGUUUGGAGGAAGAAUGUGGAUAGCUAAACAAGAAGGAGAAUAGAAAGAAACUACUCUUAAGACUAUUGCAAUAUCCAGGUGCAAUGUGCUUUGUUUCUGACUGCAGACUAUAAUGUUUAUUCCUAUUGGGGGCAGAGCAAGAUUUCAGUUUCUUUUCUCAGCAACAAGAAAAUACUCUGUCUGAAAUCAAGCAACUUCUGGGAAGACCAAGAGUGAUGGAAACUAGAGUUACAAAGCAAAAACCCUACAUCCUGAAUGCCCAGCCCGGUCAAUGAAAUUUUUCUGUCUCAUUUAUCAGCUAACUUGGUCCUCUUCCCCUGGGAACAAAACUGAGAAGGGUUAAGAGAUAAUGUGGAAACAAACUCCCCAGCACUUGCCUAAGAGGGCAGCUGUGUACCCAGACCUUCUUUCCUCUAUGUCAUUGUACUAGAAAGAGAGAGUUCCAUACUCUUUAAUCUGAAUAGUUGGCACUCACUUAAAAAAGAAUGCAGCCUGAUUCCUCUCUGCCCCUCUAGCUAUUUCCAGAAAGUUGUUCAUGGGAUGAAUUGGUAAGUAAAGAAUUCAGACACUGGUUCUGAUUAAGGGAUCUUAUAAAUGAUUUAUAACCUUUGGGAACAUCAAAGACAGCACUCAUAAGCCAGGCAAGCUAAGGGGUGCUCAGGAGUAAAAUGCACCUCCCCAUCUCACAAAUCCAUUGUUUUGAUGAAAGGAUAAGAGGCAGUUGGCCUGGGAAGGUGAAAAGGCAGGAAAAGAGUGGGAAGUCAGCUCCUAGGAUAAUAACCACAUCCACAGGCAUUGUCUCCUUUCACAUAUUUACAGCUUUUCUUUCUUAUCUUUCCACACCUCUAUAUUCAGUUAUGUAUGACCUACUAGCAAUUUACAGCUGCUUUAAAUGCAUACAUUUCAGGUAGGGUGUGUUGACUUAUGCCUGUAAUCCCAGCGCUUCGGGAGGCUGAGGUGGGUGGAUCACUUGAGGUCAGGAGUUCAAGAUCAGCCUGGCCAACAUGGCAAAACCCCAUCUCUACUAAAAAUACAAAAAUUAGCCAGUCUUGGUGGUGCACAGCUGUAAUCCCAGCUACUCGGGGGGCUGAGGCAGGAGAAUGGCUUGAACCCAGGAGGCAGAGGUUGCAGUGAGGUGAGAUCACACCACUGUACUCCAGUCUGGGCAACAGAAAGAGACUCCAUCUCAAACAAACAAACAAACAAAUAAAUAAAUAAAUGCAUACAUUGUAUCAGAAAUUAUCUCCCAUAUUGAUGAGUCUUCCAUGGGCAUCUAAUUUAAAUAUUUUUUUCUGAAAAGCAAAAGGUGCUCUAUUAUGUUGCUGGUGAGAGUGCAAAAUGGUAUAGCCUCUAAAGAGAUUAAUGUAACAAUAACUGUUAGAACCAUAUAUGCAAUCACCCUUUGACCUAGCAACCUCACUUCUAGGAAUUCAUCUUGAAGACAUAUCUCUCUAUAUGUAGGCAAAAUGGAAGCUAUUCAAUGUUACAUUGUUAGUAAUAGCAAGUUACUGUCUAUUUUUGUAUCUUUCAAAUACAUGUCUAUUUAUGUGAAAGGAUAAACUGUGGUUUAUCCACAAAAUGAAUUUUUAUGAAGUUGUAAAAAAGAAUGAGUGACAUGUCCAUGAACUGUCAUGGAGUGAUUUCCAGAACGUAUUUU
rnacentral:lncRNA from 1 species